rnacentral:lncRNA from 1 species
CAGGCUUGAGGUCGGAGGAGAACCAUGAGGGAGAUAGGAAGGUGGAGAGAAGAUGCUAUGGGGUAAGGAUCUUAAAAUCAUGGCCGUGGGGGCUAGGCAAUUGGAGUUAAGAGAAACCCAGAUGGAACAAAUUAAGAACCAGGGGUUAUCGAUAGGAAAGUAGAUUCUAAUAGCAUCGAGGGUAGAUAUCUGCCCAGCUUUAGUGCUGAUAAAGGCUUAUUAUAAAUUAAAGUUCAUGUGUGUCUUUUACCUGGGAAUUGAAUAAUCAAAGGCCCCUGAUUGAGAUUAAUUUUUUUUUUCAAUAACAUCAGAGGGUUGAACAGGAGUCCUCAGGAACCCAGGCCUGGAACAGGUGAUACAAUGGCUUGUUCGUGGUUUUGUGUGUCCCUGGGGCCUCUGUGCCUGUCCUCUGCGCUGCUUGCCGGUAUUAUGAAAGCCACGCACUACUUGGCACCAAGUUGACAAGAUCCUCCCUGAUCUGUUGUGGGUAUCUGAAGCCCAUUAUGCCAUCUGCUCAGGACAGGAGAUGUAGAGCCUGUUGCAGUCAUUAGGCCGGAAAUAGAGUUUUAAAGCUGGGAAUCGGUUGCAUGACUGUUCCAGGCAGGGUGGUGCACUCUUGUGGUCAUAGCCCUCUCGAGGCUGAGGCAAAUUCAAAGCCCAUGUGAACUAUAUAAUGAGACCUUACUUCCCUCCGUACUUAAAAAACACCACCACCACCACCCUACCACCAUCACCAACAGGAAAAAAAACUGGGUGGGGGAGAGGAUGAGGGGGAAGAGGAAGGAACGGGAAAGGGGAGAGCAGAGGGAAGAGGAGGUGAGAGGAGAAGCGCUUGAUUCACUGUAAAUCUAUUGCAGAGAAGGGAAAGCACGUGAGCCUGUCAGUUACAUUCACCGACACUAGAGGGCGACUGUUGACAAGAUUAUUGCACAGCCUCUUCUCAUCCCAGCACAGCACACGGAGCAAGCGAAGGAGCAUAGGGAAGAAGCGGUUCUUCCCUCCCCAGCAUGCAUGUGACCGCCUAGGUUCACACGAGGCAGCCCUACCUCGAUGCUGUGAGCAGCCAGCGAGAUCACAUCCGAGGAAGCUCUCACAGAGCGCCCAGAACCCAUGGCUCAUUUAGUUCUGAUCUACUGGAGCGCCUCUCCAGACAACUGAUGUCUCAAUAUCAACAGAGAAAAG